AACAACUGGCAAUCGUGUGUUUGGUGCUCUGAAGGGAGCAUUGGAUGGUGGCUUGGACAUUCCUCACAGUGACAAGAGAUUUUUUGGAUUCUCAAAUGAUAGCAAGCAGCUUGAUGCCGAGGUUCACCGAAAGUGUAUUUAUGUUGGCCAUGUUAGUGCAUAUAUGGGGACUUUUAUGGAAGAUGAACCAGAGACGUACCAAUCUCACUUCAGUGAAUAUAUUAAGAAGAUAGUUGAGCAAGAUGGCAUCGAGGAGAUGUACAAGAAGGUUCAUGCUACCAUCUGUGCAAACCCCAUUCAAAAGAAGGUUGAGAAGCAGCCACCGAAAGAGCACAAGAGGUACAAUUUGAAGAAGCUGACCUAUGAGGAAAGGAAAGCUAAGUUGGUUGAACGAUUGAAUGCUCUCAACUCAACAACUGCUAAUGAUGAGGAU